AAAAAGACAAACCUGAUUUCCAUGUCCAACGUUUGACCGUCCGUCUUAUUUAAAAAAAUAUGAAAAAAUUAAAAAGACAAUCACGCAUAAAAUAUUAAUCAUGUUUUAUCAUCUAACAACAAUGAAAAUGUAAAUUAUAAAAAAGUUUCAUAUAAGAUGGACAGUCAAAAUUGGGCACGGAAAC
rnacentral:pre_miRNA from 1 species